GGCGCGAUCGGUGAAAACCGCGUGAUCAUCCACGAGAGCGGUCCAGAGUCGCUGAGAUACCCAGAACUGCAGAUACCAGAGACUCUGAGAUAACACGGUGUGUAGCUGGAUGAACACAGCAGGUCAAGCAGCAUCAGAGGAGCAGGAAAGCUGACGUUUCGGACCUAGCUCCUUCGCUGAGACCAAGAUUUGUGCAAUUGAGAUGCCAGCGAUCGUUGCCAAAGCCCUGUUGCCUGUGGAGAAGGUGAUAUUUAACUUUUGUGUGCUGCUGCAGUUCGUAUGAUGAAGGUGCUCCCACAAUGCGGUCAUUUGAGAAGUUUCAGAUCGUUCAUCUAGCGACACUGAAGAGCUGAUGGAUAUUACAAGUGGACUUUCAGGUGGGAAGCUCAAUUGUAACACAAAACUGACAGAAUUACUUAAUUCAUCAGCACCUGGAUAUUCGCAUUGUGUAUACGGGAAAAUAAUGAGAGAAUUCACACGGCCACGAAGGCUGUCACUUUCAGAAUGAUGGGUACAACUUCCAAAUACGAUUUUUAAACGACACUAUGAAAAUACUCAGGAAAGUUUCAUGGUUUUUCAGAAAGAUCAGAGACAUAGAAGAAAGUUAAAAUCUCAUUAAAACUGCUUUCGUAAACAGAUUGGGCUGAAUAUAUGUCUUUAAUAGUACAGAUUACUUUUAUUUGUUCUGGUGGGAUGAGUUUUGUUGGUAAGACCAGCAUUUAUUGCCUCUGUCUAAUUUCCAUUCAGAAUAUGAUGGUGAAACCCAGAGACACUAAUAUAUGUUUCAUCGAGAUGUUCAGGAUUCUGAAGAAGUGUCAGUGAAUGGACAAAGAUACAGAUCCAAGCCAGGGUUCUGUGUGGUCUUGGAGAUUGUAAUACUCAACACGUGAUGCUCACAACGUGUGGAAAUUGUGAGACUGCAUUUUCUGUUUUCGAAAAUUAAGGUUAGAGAGUCAUUCAGCAUAAAAACAGGACCUUCAGCUCAACAUGUCUAUUACACUAAAAAAAACAAAACUACAUUAAUCACACUUAUCUUGAAGCCUACAGCCACGAGGCAUGGCGUUUUGAAUGCUCCUCCAGCUGCUUCUCAAGUGCUGCAUUGUCUUGUAAUAUCUGUGACCUGAGCUGUGAUUUGUCUUUUUCUUCACAUUAUGUAUGAACUACAUUUUGCAAAUAUAUCCCAGAACAUCAAAGACAGCAAUUAGCUCGAAAGAUCAAUAUAAAUGUUAACCUUGCUUUAUAAUUUUCUGGAAAAAUCAUACUUUCUUUUUAAUUCAUUUGAGAUUUUAAUGUAGCUAGACCGGCAUUAGUUGACCUUGAAAACUUCCAGCUAGAAGUUCACCAAAUUGGAAAUGUAGUGGACACUGAAAAAGGUUACUUCAGAGUCCAAUGGGAUCUUGAUCAGAUGGGACAAGGGACCAAGGAAUGGUAGGUAGAUUUAAUUUGAAUAAAUCUGAGGUGUUGCGUUUUGGAAAUCAAAUUGGGGCAGAACUUGCACUCAAAAUGGUAAGGCCCUAGGGAGUAUUGCUGAGAAAUGAGAAAUGGUGUGCAGGCGCAUAGUUCCUUGAAAGUGGAGUCAGAGAUAGAUAGGAUAGUGAAGAAAGCAUUGAACAUAGAACAUAGAAUAUUAUAGUGCAGUACAGGCCCUUCGGCCCUCCAUGUUGUGCUGAAAUGUGAAACAAUCUGAAGUCCAACUAAACUACACUAUUCCAUUAUCAUCCAUAUGUUUAUCCAGUGACUAUUUAAAUGCCCUUAAAGUUGAGAGUCUACUCCUGUUGCAUUUGGUACAACUUGCCUUUAUUGGCCAGUGCAUUGCGUGUAGUAGUUGGGAGGUCCUGUUGCGGCUGUACAUUGGUUAGGCCACUUUUGGAAUAUUGCAUGCAAUUCUCAUCUCCCUGCUAUCGGAAGGAUGUUGUGAAAAUUGAAAAGGUUCAGAAAAGAUUCAUAAAAAUGUUGCCCGGGUUGGAAGGUUUGAGCUGCAGGGACAAACUGAAUAGGCUUUUGCCUGGAGAUUCGGAGGCUGAGGGGUGCACUUACUGAGAUUUAUAAAGUCAGGAGGAGAAUAGAUAGGGUAUCUAGACAAGGUGUUUUCAGCGGGGUGGGGGAGUCCAAAAUUAGAGGGUGCGAGUUUAAGGUGAGCUGGACGAGAUUUAGAAGGAACCUCAGGCGUAACUUUUUCACACAGAGGGAGGUGAGUGUGUGGAAUGAGAUGCAAGGGGAAGUAAUGGAGUUUGGUACAGUUGCAACAUUUGAAAAGAUGGGUAUGUGAUGAGGAAAGAUUUAGAAGGAUAUGGGUCAAAAGCUAGCAAAUCAGACAAGAUUUAUUGAGUAUAUGUAAUUGGUAUGGAUGAAGUGAACUGAAGCCUCUGUUUCCAUUCUUCACAACUUUCUGACUCUAUGAUUUGGUGAAUUUCUGAUGAACAGUUACACACAGGAUACUUGUCACUGGAAGUUGAUUAUCUCAUUGAAUAUCAAGGUUGUGUUUUUGGAUUUCCUCCUGUUGGAGAUAAUUCCUGUCUGGCAACAUUGAAGAACUGUUCUUGUUAGCCAUUCAUCAGCUAAACCUGAAUGGUGCCCACAUCUUUUGGAAUAAUUACAUAGACUUUUGCAGGAACUGAGGACUGUGAAACAGUGCUGAGGAAUCCGUUUCAGUACAUUUGGGUCAGUGAUAUUUUAGCCCCCUGCCAAUAUGGCCUGUUUGUUCGUGAGCAUUCACAAUCCUGGCUCAAACAGAAACGUUCUCUUUGGAAAUGCAUAUUCGAGUGGUACAAACAUGGAACCAGAUCGUGGAAACAGCACUGGAGGGGAGUGGGGAUUAAGAACCAGCAGGAAAACAAAUACAUUCUCAAAGUGUGUACUUGGGAAGAAGGCAUUUAUUCAUCUUUUGAGGAAUGACACCAUAGCAGCUAAAAUACUUUAUUCUAAUGAAGAGAAAGCUGUAUCCAUUUUAUUGGUUUCAUUAAAAUAAUGGUGAUAAACAGCUGGAAUAAUCUUGCACUACAAUUUGAAAAAUUCUGGAUGUUUCAGAGACGGCUGGGCUGUCCCAGGCUGAGUAAGUGCUGAUACUGUAUGAGUGAUGCUGUUCUGACAAACUUUCUGAGCACAGUUGAUGGAACAGACAAACAAGCGCCAUUGGCUAGUACUUCGGAAUAUAUCAGACCUUUCAUGGCUGCUACCACAUAGAAUCACUUAAUUGAGAAAAGGCCCAUUGAGACUGCACGACCAGGUGCUGAUCCAAAUGCAUUUAAAGUUUGGGAUGUUACCUGCCUCAACCACUCUUCUAAGCAGUGCAUUCCAUCAUCAUUUGAAGUGAGAUCAGAGUAACUUCCCAUGCCAACCAUGUUACUUCACUCAUUGUGGCAUCAACGACCCUGAACAAAAAUGUGAUCAAUGUGAAUUGGAGACAAUCCUGCACUGGUAAUGUCCUCGACUGGACAAUGGGAAAAUCAAUCUCUGAAAGUUGUCAUUCAAGUCACUUGUCAUCCUGGAUAGGCACUAAAUUGCUGUUCUUUGACUAUAAUGUAUUGAAAAAAAAAUCUUGGAAUCCCUAACAAACAGCUCGGUGUGUAUGUCUGCACCAUUUGGAUUGGAAGUGUUUCAGGAAGGUAGCUCGCUGUUACUUUCUCCAGAGGUAUUGGUGAUGACAAAUACACUCAGCCUUUGCUCGUGCCUGCUAAAACCCAUGCUUGAGUGUGUCCUAUUAAAAAUAUCAAGAUAGUUUAUGUUUUCAAAGUUGAGCCCAAAGUCUCAGAAAGGUAAGACUUUGCUGGAUGAGUGUAACCCCAGCAAUGUCAGGAGCAUGGUAUGACAUUGAGUUAAGGAUCCGCAUCGUUUUCUAUAAGAGGACUGAUUGUGCGAUAUCAGUGCCACUGAGUUCAAAUUUUUCAUGGCAAUUAAUAUCAAUGUAACAUGCCAUCGAUACUUGGGAUCUUUAUUAAAGAAACUUUGCAAUGUUUCCUUUAAUGACCAUUCACAAAUACUUGAAGGGCAGCUCAAAUGGCAGCUUCACUGUUUCGAUUCAGAUCAGACAAAUUGUGACAGUGAAAAGAAAGGAAAGAAAUGCUGGUUAAAAAUUAUCAUAUCUAGCAGCAUCUGCAAUAUUACUAUUUUUCAGAACAGAUUCAUAACAGACUAGAUCUGUUAACUCAAAAUCUGUCUCCUGAUGUUACCUCAUAUAUUGCGUUUCUCCACCAACUUCUAUUUCAGGUUUCCUUAAUCUCCAGAAUUUUGCUUUUCUUGAUAGGUCUGGAUGUUGAACUUGGUUAUAUUUGGACAAUAUCGUCCAUUCCUGAU